AUUUAUUCAACUUCCUGGUGAUUCUCCACCACUUUAUGUAUCCAAAUAAAGCUUCUUACAAAGAGAUUCAUCCUGGUUUGAUUGGAACGACGAAGAAGCUGUGCUAUUCCCAAACUGGGAAACUGGAAUCACCUGAUUUGAAAGUGGGAUAACUUCUUCAUCCAAGCUCCUAUGAGAUUUAUUCAACUUCCUGUUGAUUCUCCACCACUUUAUGUAUCCAAAUCAAGCUUCUUACAAAGUGAUUCAUCCUGGUUUGUUUGGAAUGACGACGAAGCCGUUCUAUUACCAAACUGGGAAACUGGAAUCAACUGAUUUGAAAGUGGGAUAACUUCUUCAUGCCAACUCCUAUGAGAUUUAUUCAACUUCCUGGUGAUUCUCCACCACUUUAUGUAUCCAAAUCAAGCUUCUUACAAAGAUCCUAUGAGAUUUAUUCAACUUCCUGGUGAUUCUUCACCACUAUAUGUAUCCAAAUGAAGCUUCUUACAAAGAAAUUCUUCCUGGUUUGAUUGGAACGACGAAGAAGCUGUGCUAUUCCCAAACUGGGAAACUGGAGUCACCUGAUUUGAAAGUGGGAUAACUUCUUCAUGCCAACUCCUAUGAGAUUUAUUCAACUUCCUGGUGAUUCUCCACCACUUUAUGUAUCCAAAUCAAGCUUCUUACAAAGAAAUUCAUCCUGGUUUGAUUGGAACGACGAAGAAGCUGUGCUAUUCCUAAACUGGGAAACUAGAAUCACCUGAUUUGAAAGUGGGCUAACUUCUUCAUGCCAGCUCCUAUGAGAUUUAUUCAACUUCCUGGUGAUUCUCCACCACUUUAUGUGUCCAAAUCAAGCUUCUUACUGUUGAGAUGAGCUGAGUAUAUGGAUAUGAAGAGAUAAGGAGUUGAAGAGAAGAGGAGAUGAAGUACUUAGGGAAGUUUGGGAGAGUAUGGUACGGCC
rnacentral:lncRNA from 1 species